AUGGAGGUUCGCAGCUUCUACGAUGCUGAGGCACCAUCCUAACACCAUUUUGCAGUUCUAGCCGACGAGGUGAAGGUAUGGGUGCAUCGACGGCACUCCUAAUACAAGAUUGAAAUUCGGAGCUCCCUUCUAUGCGUACUCCGAAGACGAGAAGUGUGGCUCCGACGACAAGAUUGGUUAGGGCUCUCCGAUUACCGAAGAUUUGGCUAAAGGUACAUGUGAUAAGCGCUCAAAUGAGAAUCCGCCAAUUCAAUCUCUAGAUGACGGCUAUGAACAUCGAAUUAAUACAAGUUUAAUAAAAAGACCAAACAAACACUGCGAAACAUGACAAAUUUAAUUUUUAACUUCACUUAUGGAAAGUACACACCGAAACUAGCUAAACCCAUUCGGUUCUCUCUGGCUCAAAUAUUUAACAGCAAGCUAACAAACAAUUAUCUUUCAAAUUAAAGUGGACGCAUUUUAGAGUU